rnacentral:rRNA from 1 species
UAGGGAAUCUUCCGCAAUGGACGAAAGUCUGACGGAGCAACGCCGCGUGAGCGAUGAAGGCCUUCGGGUCGUAAAGCUCUGUUGUCAGGGAAGAACAAGUACCGGAGUAACUGCCGGUACCUUGACGGUACCUGACCAGAAAGCCACGGCUAACUACGUGCCAGCAGCCGCGGUAAUACGUAGGKGGCAAGCGUUGUCCGGAAUUAUUGGGCGUAAAGCGCGCGCAGGCGGUUCUUUAAGUCUGAUGUGAAAGCCCCCGGCUCAACCGGGGAGGGUCAUUGGAAACUGGGGAACUUGAGUGCAGAAGAGGAAAGYGGAAUUCCACGUGUAGCGGUGAAAUGCGUAGAGAUGUGGAGGAACACCAGUGGCGAAGGCGGCUUUCUGGUCUGUAACUGACGCUGAGGCGCGAAAGCGUGGGGAGCRAACAGGAUUAGAUACCCUGGUAGUCCACGCCGUAAACGAUGAGUGCUAAGUGUUAGRGGGUUUCCGCCCUUUAGUGCUGCAGCWAACGCAUUAAGCACUCCGCCUGGGGAGUACGGCCGCAAGGCUG